rnacentral:rRNA from 1 species
GACGAACGCUGGCGGCGUGCUUAACACAUGCAAGUCGAGCGGUAAGGCCUUUCGGGGUACACGAGCGGCGAACGGGUGAGUAACACGUGGGUGAUCUGCCCUGCACUUCGUGAUAAGCCUGGGAAACUGGGUCUAAUACCGGAUAUGACCUCCUAUCGCAUGGUGGGUGGUGGAAAGAUUUAUCGGUGCAGGAUGGGCCCGCGGCCUAUCAGCUUGUUGGUGGGGUAAUGGCCUACCAAGGCGACGACGGGUAGCCGACCUGAGAGGGUGACCGGCCACACUGGGACUGAGACACGGCCCAGACUCCUACGGGAGGCAGCAGUGGGGAAUAUUGCACAAUGGGCGAAAGCCUGAUGCAGCGACGCCGCGUGAGGGAUGACGGCCUUCGGGUUGUAAACCUCUUUCAGCAGGGACGAAGCGCAAGUGACGGUACCUGCAGAAGAAGCACCGGCUAACUACGUG